GAUUCUGGCUCAGGAUGAACGCUGGCGGCGUGCCUAACACAUGCAAGUCGAACGGACCUUUACAGACUGCGAUUCGUCAAAGGAAGUCAAGGUAGUGGCGGACGGGUGAGUAACGCGUGGGUAACCUGCCUCGUAGAGGGGGAUAACAGUUGGAAACGAUUGCUAAUACCGCAUAAGCCCACAGGACCGCAUGGUCCAGGGGGAAAAGAUUCAUCGCUACGAGAUGGACCCGCGUUUGAUUAGUUAGUUGGCGGUGUAACGGACCACCAAGACGACGAUCAAUAGCCGGACUGAGAGGUUGAACGGCCACAUUGGGACUGAGACACGGCCCAAACUCCUACGGGAGGCAGCAGUGGGGAAUAUUGCACAAUGGGGGAAACCCUGAUGCAGCGACGCCGCGUGGGUGAAGAAGUUUUUCGGAAUGUAAAGCCCUAUCAGCAGGGAAGAAAAUGACGGUACCUGACUAAGAAGCCCCGGCUAACUACGUGCCAGCAGCCGC
rnacentral:rRNA from 1 species